AUGGCGGAGCUACGGCCUCGCCCUUCCUGCCGGCUUGCCCUCCUAGCCUGCCUGUGCCUCUUCCUGCUGGCCGCCGCGCCGCCCCUCGCGCUCGCCCGCGCGGCGCCCGCCGCCGACUCGAUACACAAGCUACUGCGCUCGCACGGCCUCCCCGGCGGGCUGCUCCCGCGCAGCGUGGAGUCGUACACCCUGGACGAGGGAAACGGCCUGCUCGAGGCGCGGCUAUCGGCGCCGUGCUACGCGACGUACGACAACGGCGACCUGGCUUUCUUCGACACCGUGGUGCGAGGGAAUCUCAGCUUCGGCGCGCUCCGCGGCUGUGAGGGGCUGGCUCAGGAGGAGCUCUUCAUGUGGCUCCCGGUGAAGGGCAUCCUCGUCUCCGACCCUGGCUCCGGCGUCAUCCUGUUCGACAUCGGCUACGCGCACAAGAGGCUCUCAAGGUCGCUCUUCGAGGAGCCGCCGGACUGCAAGCCGUCUGCCAGCACCAGUAUGGGCGCCGUCGAAGCCGCCAGGUGGAGGGAUAGUCCAGGUGUUCCUGGGCUGAGGGAGAGGAUAGAGGCAGAAGGAGGAGAAGAGCACCUGGACCAGAGGUGA
rnacentral:rRNA from 1 species